rnacentral:rRNA from 1 species
AUACGUAGGUGGCGAGCGUUGUCCGGAAUUACUGGGCGUAAAGGAUGCGUAGGUGGAUACUUAAGUGGGAUGUGAAAUCCCCGGGCUCAACCCGGGAACUGCAUUCCAAACUGGGUAUCUAGAGUGCAGGAGAGGAAAGCGGAAUUCCUAGUGUAGCGGUGAAAUGCGUAAAUAUUAGGAGGAACACCAGUGGCGAAGGCGGCUUUCGUGACGGUAACUGACACUGAGGCAUGAAAGCGUGGGUAGCAAACAGGAUUAGAUACCCUGGUAGUCCACGCCGUAAACGAUGGGUACUAGGUGUAGGAGGUAUCGACCCCUUCUGUGCCGUCGUUAACACAAUAAGUACCCCGCCUGGGGAGUACGGUCGCAAGACUAAAACUCAAAUGAAUUGACGGGG